AUGAACGCUGGCGGCGUGCCUAAUACAUGCAAGUCGCGCGAACAGACGAGGAACUUGCUCCUCUGACGUUAGCGGCGGACGGGUGAGUAACACGUGGAUAACCUACCUAUAAGACUGGGAUAACUUCGGGAAACCGGAGCUAAUACCGGAUAAUAUAUUGAACCGCAUGGUUCAAUAGUGAAAGACGGUUUUGCUGUCACUUAUAGAUGGAUCCGCGCCGCAUUAGCUAGUUGGUAAGGUAACGGCUUACCAAGGCAACGAUGCGUAGCCGACCUGAGAGGGUGAUCGGCCACACUGGAACUGAGACACGGUCCAGACUCCUACGGGAGGCAGCAGUAGGGAAUCUUCCGCAAUGGGCGAAAGCCUGACGGAGCAACGCCGCGUGAGUGAUGAAGGUCUUCGGAUCGUAAAACUCUGUUAUUAGGGAAGAACAAAUGUGUAAGUAACUAUGCACGUCUUGACGGUACCUAAUCAGAAAGCCACGGCUAACUACGUG
rnacentral:rRNA from 1 species